GCGGCAGCGGCCGAGCGGCGGGAGGGGAGCGGCGGAGCGCGCUCUGCCCGGCCUUUGCCCCGCAGGGGGCGUGGUCACGAGAAGGGGGCUGUCCGUGCGGGAGGGGGCGUGGCCAUCGCCGGGACCUCACCCGGGCAUGGCCGGGGGGCUUCGGGUCCUUCCCCUGUGUCCCCCUGUUCCUCGUGUCCCUGGGUCCUCCUUUGUCCCGCCGUCCUGCCCGGGCUGUCCCCGUGUCACCUGUGUCCCCACGUGUCUGUGUUCCCCAUUGUCCCUCGGGAAUCUGUUCCCCCCGCGCUCCCCACGUCCCGCGUGUGCCCGUGUCCCCCUUGUGUCCUCCCCGCGUGUCCCCCGCGUGUCUGUGUUCCCCACCUCGUCCGUCUGCCUGUGACCCCCAAGUCUCCCUGUCCCUGCCCAGGGUGUCCGUGUCCUCUGUGCCCCUCGGGUGGCACGGUUCGGUCCCCACCCAGUGGCUUCUUUGCGGUGUCGCCGCUGUCCGGGAGGGGCUGUGGGAUUGUCCCCCCGCCCCAGCCAUGGCCGUGUGUCCGGCCCGGCCCCACGCGUGCCCCGCGGGUGGGCGUGACCGCAGCAGCAUGGAGGCUCUGGGAGACGCUGAAACCCCCACCUCGGACACCCCCACCCCCGGCACUCCAACCUGGGACACCCCCACUUUGAACACCCCCACCGCGAGCACCCCCGCCCCCGGCACCCCUACCUUGGACACCCCCACCCCCGGCACCCCCACCCGCGGUAGCCCCACUCCGGACACCCCCUCUGACCCCGUCGCGGGGCCGGGGGAGAGCAGCGGGGAGGCGACGGCUCACCGGCAUGGGGAGGAAGCUCGGGAAGCGGGGGGCGAUGCGGGGGACACGGGGGGUGAAGGGAAAAACACUGGGGGUGAAGAGGAGGAUUCAGGGGGCUGUGCGGGGGGAGAGGCUGCCGGGGAUGGCGGGGCAGAAGCACCCAGGGGUGCCGGGGGCAAUGCUGGAGAGGCCGGGGAUGGGGGUGGCAAUGCCGAGGCAGGGACAGCCGGGGGCACCGGAGCGGGUACCGAGGAGGGUACCGAGGGAAAAGCGGCGCCGGCAGCAACUGGCAACACCCGGCGUCAAAAGGAACCCACUUGGCUUCAGGACGAGGACGACGAGCUGUGGCCUGAGUUCUCUCCCUGCUCAUCCCCAGAGGGGGCCACCAGCCCCACAUCCCCCACGUCCCCUAUAUCUCCCACGUCCCCUAUGUCCCCAGCAUCCCCAGCGUCCCCCACAGGUAAGAGCCAUUUGGAUGAUGGCACCCAAGUGUCCUGGUGUCACUGCUGCCCCACAGUGUCCAUCCUCCCCUUGGGAGAGGACCUAGAGCCCCAGAGGUGCCAGGGAGGUGUGGGUGCCCUCUUCCACCCUCUGACCCCUCCUCUCUCCUUGCAGCUGGCACUGCCGAGGACAUAGGGGGCAGCAAGAGGUGUGUCCCCAUGGGUGGCACCCAGUAC
rnacentral:lncRNA from 1 species